CAAUAGCGUAUAUUAAAGUUGUUGCGGUAAAAAGCUCGUAGUUGGAUUUCUGUCGAGAACAUGCGGUCACGAUUUUGUCGUUGCAUCUGUGUUGGUCUUGGCAUCCUCUUGGGAACGAUUCUGCGCUUCACUGCGUGGAGUGGUAUUCAAGACUUUUACUUUGAGGAAAUUAGAGUGUUCACGGCAGGCAAUCGCCCUGAAUAUAUUAGCAUGGAAUAAUGAUAUAGGACCUUGGUUCUAUUUUGUUGGUUUCUAGGACUAAGGUAAUGAUUAAUAGGGACAAUUGGGGCGAUUCGUAUUAAACGCGUCAGAGGUGGAAUUCUUAGAUUGCGUUACGACGAACUACUGCGAAAGCAUUUGCCAAGGAUGUUUUUCAUUGAUCAAGAACGAAAGUAAGGGGAUCGAAGACGAUCAGAU
rnacentral:rRNA from 1 species